rnacentral:sRNA from 1 species
CUGGAAUGCUCGGACCCGGGAACCUGUCACAGACAAUGUAGAGAAAUUUGCCAUUGAGACAGAACUCAUCUAUAAGUACUCUCCAUUCCGCACUGAGGAGGAAGUGAUGACCCAGUUUAUGAAGAUUCCUGGGGACAGUGGAACAUUGGUGAUCAUCUUCAAUCUCAAACUCAUGGAUAAUGGAGAGCCAGAACUAGACAUAAUCUCAAAUCCAAGAGAUAUCCAGAUGGCAGAGACGUCCCCAGAGGGCACGAAGCCAGAGCGGCGCUCAUUCCGUGCCUAUGCCGCUGUGCUCUAUAUUGAUCCCCGGAUGAGGAUCUUCAUCCAUGGGCACAAGGUGCAGACCAAGAGGCUCUCCUGCUGCCUGUACAAGCCCAGGAUGUACAAGUACACGUCAAGCCGUUUCAAGACCCGUGCGGAGCAGGAGGUGAAGAAAGCAGAGCACGUAGCAAGGAUUGCUGAGUUCUGUGGAAAAAGAUUACCCUGACACCUGGGUUUGCUCCAUGAACCCUGAUCCUGAACAGGACCGGUGUGAGGCUUCUGAACAAAAGCAGAAGGUUCCCCUGGGAACAUUCAGAAAGGACAUGAAGACGCA